GAGCGAACGCUGGCGGCAGGCUUAACACAUGCAAGUCGAACGGGCGUAGCAAUACGUCAGUGGCAGACGGGUGAGUAACGCGUGGGAACGUACCUUUUGGUUCGGAACAACCCAGGGAAACUUGGGCUAAUACCGGAUAAGCCCUUACGGGGAAAGAUUUAUCGCCGAAAGAUCGGCCCGCGUCUGAUUAGCUAGUUGGUGUGGUAACGGCGCACCAAGGCGACGAUCAGUAGCUGGUCUGAGAGGAUGAUCAGCCACAUUGGGACUGGGACACGGCCCAAACUCCUACGGAGGCAGCAGUGGGGAAUUUUGGACAAUGGGCGCAAGCCUGAUCCAGCCAUUCCGCGUGCAGGAUGAAGGCCCUCGGGUUGUAAACUGCUUUUGUACGGAACG
rnacentral:rRNA from 1 species